rnacentral:misc_RNA from 1 species
GAUGAAGAACGCAGCGAAAUGCGAUACGUAGUGUGAAUUGCAGAAUUCAGUGAAUCAUCGAAUCUUUGAACGCACAUUGCGCCCGCCAGUAUUCUGGCGGGCAUGCCUGUUCGAGCGUCAUUACAACCCUCAGGCCCCCGGGCCUGGCGUUGGGGAUCGGCGGAGCCCCCCGUGGGCACACGCCGUCCCCCAAAUACAGUGGCGGUCCCGCCGCAGCUUCCAUCGCGUAGUAGCUAACACCUCGCGACUGGAGAGCGGCGCGGCCACGCCGUAAAACACCCAACUCUUCUGAAGUUGACCUAGAAUCAGGUAGGAAUACCCGCUGAACUUAAGCAUAUCAAUAAGCGGAGGA